ACUUCAUUUCAUCUGUUGCAGCUUCAAGCUGUUGUAGCUGACGAUAUGGACAAUAAGCUUCUUCAGUUGUAUGAGUAUGAGAAUUCCCGGAAACAUGGGAGGGUAAUUGACUCAGUAUAUUAUGAAAACGCUAGGAUCCUCCUUCAUGAGGAAAACAUAUAUCGGUUGGAAUGUUCUUCCUCUCCACCUUGUUUGUCAAUCCAGCUUAUGGAUAACAUAACCGAAAAGCCCGAGGCUUCUGCAGUUACCAUGGAUCCCACUUUUGCAAGUUAUUUGAAAAAUGAGUUUCUCUCCAACUCAUCAGGGAAGAAAGAGCUACAAGACAUUGUAUUACAAAGG